UAUCCACUCAAAACAUCUUGUUAAGCGAAUCAUCUCUGUGUGAGCAGUUUGUCUCUCCAGUGAAUUGCAUAUGGAGGUAAGAAGUGAUGUCUCGGCUGUUAGCCUGCGUCCCUUCCGGGAGCUGCCGACGGACGGAGCGCCCCCGCCCCCGCCCCCGCCCGGCCGCCCGCCCGCCGCCGCCAUGCCCUUCUCCAACAGCCACAACGCGCUGAAGCUGCGCUUCCCCGCCGAGGAUGAGUUCCCCGACCUGAGCGCCCACAACAACCACAUGGCCAAGGUGCUGACCCCGGAGCUGUACGCGGAGCUGCGCGCCAAGAGCACGCCGAGCGGCUUCACGCUGGACGACGUCAUCCAGACGGGCGUGGACAACCCGGGCCACCCGUACAUCAUGACCGUGGGCUGCGUGGCGGGCGACGAGGAGUCCUACGAAGUGUUCAAGGAUCUUUUCGACCCCAUCAUCGAGGACCGGCACGGCGGCUACAAGCCCAGCGAUGAGCACAAGACAGACCUCAACCCCGACAACCUGCAGGGCGGCGACGACCUGGACCCCAACUACGUGCUGAGCUCGAGGGUGCGCACGGGCCGCAGCAUCCGCGGCUUCUGCCUGCCCCCGCACUGCAGCCGCGGGGAGCGCCGCGCCAUCGAAAAGCUCGCGGUGGAAGCCCUGUCCAGCCUGGACGGCGACCUGGCGGGCCGGUACUACGCGCUCAAGAGCAUGACGGAGGCGGAGCAGCAGCAGCUCAUCGACGACCACUUCCUCUUCGACAAGCCCGUGUCACCUCUGCUGCUGGCCUCGGGCAUGGCCCGCGACUGGCCCGACGCCCGUGGUAUCUGGCACAAUGACAAUAAGACCUUCCUGGUAUGGGUCAACGAGGAGGACCACCUGCGGGUCAUCUCCAUGCAGAAGGGGGGCAACAUGAAGGAGGUGUUCACCCGCUUCUGCACCGGCCUCACCCAGAUUGAAACUCUCUUCAAGUCUAAGAACUAUGAGUUCAUGUGGAGCCCUCACCUGGGCUACAUCCUCACCUGCCCAUCCAACCUGGGCACAGGGCUGCGGGCAGGAGUGCACAUCAAGCUGCCCCACCUGGGCAAGCAUGAGAAGUUCUCGGAGGUGCUUAAGCGGCUACGACUUCAGAAGCGAGGCACAGGCGGUGUGGACACGGCUGCAGUGGGCGGGGUCUUCGACGUCUCCAACGCUGACCGCCUGGUCUUCUCGGAAGUGGAGCUGGUGCAGAUGGUGGUGGACGGAGUGAAGCUGCUCAUCGAGAUGGAGCAGCGGCUGGAGCAGGGCCAGGCCAUCGACGACCUCAUGCCUGCUCAGAAGUGAAGCCCGGCCCACACCCGACACCAGCCCUGCUGCUUCCUAACUUAUUGCCUGGGCAGUGCCCACCAUGCACCCCUGAUGUUCGCCACCUGGCGAGCCCUUAGCCUUGCUGUAGAGACUUCCGUCACCCUUGGUAGAGUUUAUUUUUUUGAUGGCUAAGAUACUGCUGAUGCUGAAAUAAACUAGGGUUUUGGCCUGCCAAAAAAAAAAAAAAAAAAAAAAA